AGGUCUCAAGCGUUGUUCGGAUUCAUUGGGCGUAAAGGGUGCGUAGGCGGCGAGGUAAGUCGGGUGUGAAAUCUCGGAGCUUAACUCCGAAACUGCAUUCGAUACUGCCGUGCUUGAGGACUGGAGAGGAGACUGGAAUUUACGGUGUAGCGGUGAAAUGCGUAGAUAUCGUAAGGAAGACCAGUGGCGAAGGCGGGUCUCUGGACAGUUCCUGACGCUGAGGCACGAAGGUCAGGGGAGCAAACGGG
rnacentral:rRNA from 1 species